UAAGGAAUAUUGGUCAAUGGAGGCAACUCUGAACCAGCCAUGCCGCGUGCAGGAAGACAGCCCUCUGGGUCGUAAACUGCUUUUAUUCGGGAAUAAACCACAUUACGUGUAAUGUGCUGAAUGUACCGAAGGAAUAAGGAUCGGCUAACUCCGUGCCAGCAGCCGCGGUAAUACGGAGGAUCCAAGCGUUAUCCGGAUUUAUUGGGUUUAAAGGGUGCGUAGGCGGCUUAUUAAGUCAGGGGUGAAAGACGGUGGCUCAACCAUCGCAGUGCCCUUGAUACUGAUGAGCUUGAAUACACUAGAGGUAGGCGGAAUGUGACAAGUAGCGGUGAAAUGCAUAGAUAUGUCACAGAACACCGAUUGCGAAGGCAGCUUACUAUGGUGUGAUUGACGCUGAGGCACGAAAGCGUGGGGAUCAAACA
rnacentral:rRNA from 1 species